GACGAACCGUACGAACGUUAUUCGGAAUCACUGGGCUUAAAGGGUGCGUAGGCGGCGCAGAAAGUUGGGUGUGAAAUCCCUCGGCUCAACCGAGGAACUGCGCCCAAAACUACUGUGCUCGAGGGAGACAGAGGUGUGCGGAACUUAGGGUGGAGCGGUGAAAUGCGUUGAUAUCCUAAGGAACACCGGUGGCGAAAGCGGCUCACUGGGUCUCUGCUGACGCUGAGGCACGAAAGCUAGGGUAGCGAACGGG
rnacentral:rRNA from 1 species